rnacentral:misc_RNA from 1 species
GAGUAAGGGUGUCUCUUCGCGAGCGCCCGACCUCCCAACCCUGUGUCUAUGUUACCUCUAGUUGCUUCGGUGGGCCGGCGUCCUGCUCACGCGGGACGCCGCCUGGUCUUCACCGGCCGGGAGAGCCGCCUGCCGACGGCCUACACAAAACUCUUGAUACCAAACCAUGUCGUCUGAAUAUUUGUGAUUUAUAAUCAAAAACAAAACUUUCAACAACGGAUCUCUUGGUUCU